rnacentral:rRNA from 1 species
CAGAGGUAACAGCACGAGGAGGCAUAGCGGCGACACCUACACGACGAGCAGGGACGCAUGACGGAAUUUGUGAUCCGGUGGUGCCGCAUGGAGGAUACAGCACUGAACGGAUAAAAGCUACCCCGGGGAUAACAGGCUUAUCACCCCAAAGAGUACACAACGACGGGGGGAUGUGGCACCUAGAUAUCGGCUCAUCGCAUCCUGGGGCUGUAGUCGGUCCCAAGGGUUGGGCUGUUCGCACAUUAAAGCGGUACGCGAGCUGGGUUCAGAACGUCGUGAGAC